rnacentral:rRNA from 1 species
UACGUAGGGAGCGAGCGUUUGUCCGGAAUCAUUGGGCGUAAAGAGCAUGUAGGUGGAUCAAUUUAGUCUGCUGUGAAAGUCAAAGGCUCAACCUUUGAAAGCCGGUGGAUACUGUUGAUCUAGAGUACGGAAGAGGCGAGUGGAAUUCCUGGUGUAGCGGUGGAAUGCGGCAGAUAUCAGGGAGGGAACACCGGUGGGCGAAGGCGGGUCUCUGGGGCAG